CAGCCCCUCCUUCCUAUAUUAUAUGCCAUAGCAUAUAUUUGUCAUCUCCUGCUAAAGAUCCACAGAUUUCAAAGACAACUGAAAUGUAUUCCAUGCUCGCAUAAGAUUUUCUGCUCUGUGGCUCUUACUCAGCUGUUGGUUUCCCUCCCCCAGAGACUGAUAUCACUGAUCAUGAUCUUUGGGCUUAUAUGUUACCCUUUGUCAUUUGCAAAACAACUUGUUAAAUAUUAAAAAGUAACAGACCAACUCACAAAUGCAACCACUUUCUGCUGCUCUGUUUUCCAACACUUCCCCCCAUCUCUUCCAACCCCAUCAUAUCUGUAUAAGCUCAAAUAUUUGUUAGUGUACAAAUGUUCAAGUACUUGCUUAGAACAUAGGCUUUUUCCUAUUCCAACCCCCAUGUACUGUGCAAUGUGUGCACAACUCUUAGGGCUCUUACAGACGAGCGUUUGAAGCUGCAUUCUGUUUUUAUGCAUUCAGCCGCAGGGGAGCACAGGAGUAGACAUUUGGGUUUUUAAUUGACUUGAGCAGCAGUUGCUGACUGACUGUGAUAUGGACUGUAAUAGCUACUCAACCAAUAUGUCCAAGCUUGUAGAGUGUGUCCCGAUUUUCUCAGAGGGUAAGAACAAAGAGUGUAUCUGUAUAGAGAAGCUGCUCGCAGUGAAAGCCGCAGAUCCCAACCAGCUAUGCAGGCUGGAGAAUAUGAAGCUCGGCCCACUAAGUUGAAGAAUCCAGAAUGGGCUCCGGACUUUGGUGACCCAGUUUUUGUCCCUAUCUGGGGUGCAACUGUGAGUGGAGCUUGCAAGUUCCUUAUUGUUUACAAUAUCAAUUUGCUAAGCACCAAAGAGUUGGCUUAUCGCAUUGCACUUAAUAUCCGUAAGAAUGGCCAUGGAAAGGAUCAGGUGAGAUGAAGAAUUUAUGGGACAUCUGUCAGGCAAUUUUUUUGUUGGAACUAAUUUAUUCAAACUGGCACAUUAUUGCUUUCAUGUCAAAGUAUGGCUCCCCAGUUGAGAUAGUCAACAGUGUGAAGUUCGUAGGAGUACAUAUGGCAGAUGACCUCUCCUGGACCCUUAACACAAACUCUAUUACAAAGAAAGCUCAACAACGCCUCCACUUUCUAUGGAAGCUAAAGAAAGCCAAUCUUCCCCCACUGAUUCUUACAACAUUCUAUUGAUGCACCAUCGAGAGUGUGCUCUGCAGCUACAUCACACUAUGGUUUGGAAACUGCACUGUUGCAGAACAAAAGUCUCUGCAGCGAAUUGUGAAAACUGCAGAAAGGAUCAUAGGAGAACCUCUCCCACCCAUCUCCCAACUCUACCAGAAACACCUUGUACGACGAGCAAAUAUCUUAGCAAAAGACAUAUCCCAUCCAUCUCAUUCUCUGUUUUCUCUCUUACCAUCUGGAAGAAGGUUCCGCAGCAUUCAAACUAAAACUACUAGACACUGCAAAAGCUUCUUCCCACAAGCAAUCAGAGCCCUUAACAUGAUAAUACUGAAAAACUAACUGUUCCCUGCACCUGUCACCUUACCUAACAUAUAUCCUCAAAUGCUCUUUUAAAUGCACCAAGUGGGGGGGGGGGCUGAGUGAAACGUAAUUUCGAUACACUGUAUAACUGUUUAUAUGGUCUGUUUUGACAAAUAAAGCAAUCUUAUCUUAUCUUAUCUUAGUAUGAGCGUAUGGAUUGAUGUGGAAGAUAUUUCUAAUGGAAGUUCAUAUGUUUUUUAAAACCAACAUUUGACUGCCACAUUUUCCCAUAGCCAGGGUGUCUUGGAAGAUCCAAGCAAUUGGUUCGUUCCUUCAGGAAGAGAAUUUGGCACAUGUCAACAAAUCUACUUGAUUUUGAAAUAACCCCUCUGCAUGUAGUAUAUGAAGAAGUGUGCAAAGAUGCCAAUGUAUUCCAUCCAGCAAUACCGUGUUAAUUUGCUGAGUGUAAAGAACUUUCACCUUUGUCACAUUCGUCUCUGUGCCACAUAAUGUGUACUAUACCAUUGUAUGGCAUAUUUGUUAUUUUCCCAACGGUCUUUUUUUUUAUUGAGUGCUGCAGUAUUUGAACUGUUUACCAAUAUUGUAUUCCAGGAACUGACCCUCCCUGUAAUAGGU